GACGGAAGAUCCGAGCGUUAUCCGGAAUUACUGGGCGUAAAGAGAUGCGUAGGCGGUUUGUUAAGUAGAUUGUGAAAUGCUAUGGCUCAACCAUAGCACUGCACUCUAAACUGGCAAACUUGAGAAUAUGAGAGGUCGCUGGAAUUCCAGGUGUAGGAGUGAAAUCCGUAGAUAUCUGGAGGAACACCAAUGGCGAAGGCAGGCGACUGGCAUAUUUCUGACGCUAAGGCUCGAAAGCGUGGGGAGCGAACGGG
rnacentral:rRNA from 1 species